UUGACAAAAGCAUGAAUCAUGAUCAAUAUCCUUUGAAUCAAGUACUCAUUGAUACAUGAUCGCAGACGAUAAGUGUGAAUUUAUUUUUGUGAAAAUAGAAUUGGUCACACUUUAUCAAAUCCCUUUCUGUGGAGCGAGGUCUGAUGCGUGCAUUUUUGGAUUGCAACUUGAGUUCGUCAAAUUGUGAUCUCAUUUCGAUGAAUAUCCACGAUCGAAAUCAUUCAAGUUUUAGAGCUUGUGAAGAAGAUAAAUAUUUUUGAAGAUCAUUUGUAUCGAAUUCUGAACAUGCAGAAUCAGAGAUGAUCAAUGAGAUUUUGUUUUUAUGAAAAUAGAAUUGGCCACACAGUAUCAAACCCAUUAUAGCAAAGGUUAAAUUCACCCCAACGAAGGGACGUCCCGGAGAGAGAGAGAGAGAGAGAGAGAGAGAGAAAAUGUGGUUGUUCAGCAGAGAAGCAACUACUCGGCUGCUCACUAUUCCAUUGUAACAGGUGGGUGUGUGGUUCUGCAUAGCAUGGGUCAUGUACAUCUCAAAGGUCAUUUAGUCUAUUUAUAUUGCACCUGCAAAGACAUUGGGAGCAUGUCAACUGCUGCAAUUGUGGUCAUCUUUUGGGUCUUGUUCUAUUGUCAUGUUGGUGAUUCCAAUUUUGAUUUUGUAUAGCUUUCAUUGGUCUUGGCAAUAAUAUUUGCACAUGGAAACAAAAAUAUGAACAAAACUGCUCACUACUCCAUACCUAGUUUGAAAACAUUUGUGUUUAUUUGAGAUUUCAUGGUCCCUUGAAUUUACCUUACUCUGUUGAUGAUCUUUCCAUGCCUAUUAAUCUGCGACAACAAGGAAUUUCUUGCUCUGUUGCAUUUUUAAAUUGAGGCAAUUGUCCAGUACUUUGUGUAUUACUGUACGAAUUGUUCGGAGCACUGGUUUUUACUUGAGAUUUAGGUUCUUAGAAUUGAAAUGAUUGCUUUCAGUUUGGACUUCAUCCCUUGAAGAUACAUUUUUGUGUGAACUUCCCUUUCCUAUUUGCGGAUGACUGAUUUUUGUUUAUGGAGUAUAAUCUCGAUCGUGACUGGUGUUUAAAAUGGGUCCUUGAUUUAUAUUGUCAACAAGCAGGUCAACACAUGAACUUUUCGGAUUUUGAAUUGUUUGUGAGUCCAAAUAUGGUGCAUGGUGAUGUUGAUUUACUUCAAAGGAUCUUCGGAGUUUGUUGUGUGGCUAAACUGGCAUUUACUUGGGGCCCGAUUUAGAUCUUACUAAAAGUAAGGGGAGUUUAUUGGAUCGAGCUCAAUCCAGGUUGAGACGUUGAGUAACCAGAAGGCACCCCUUUUAUCCUUUGCUUGUCACUUGAUUUUGGUUAAACAUGUGCUGUUGACUAUUUCAAGCUAUCAGUUUGGUUAACAGAUACUCAGCAUCUAAAAUUGACAAGAACUUUACUGUUAAACGCUACUGUUUCUUGUAAUUUUUAAGUCCGUACGUUUCUUGGAUAGUACAAAGCCAACCCAGCCUUGAACUCUACUUUCCUCCCCAAAAUCCUUCACCUUGUCUAUAAACCCCGGAUGAAGAAACCACUCAUUGAAGGAUUUGAAAGGCUUAGGACACCAAUCCGUCCCAUCCCCCUCCAACAAAAUAGGGCAGUGAUCAGAUAAACAUCUGGGAAGACCCCAUCGUUUUGAUUAAACCACUCAAGCCAUUCUGGAUGUAUCAAAAAUUCAACUGACCUGCAGCAUUUUUUUUUCCGCAACUGCUUGCCCCAAUCAUUUAUCCUUAUUCCACUCUAACCUGUACAGCCUAGGAAAGGUAUUGAUCAAUUGACUCCAUUCACCCAGGAGUGUCUCCAGAAGCUGAUUUUUAAACCAUCUCCAACUCUGAAAUUUGCAUUAUUGAAAACGGCACUGCAUAGAGCAUGAUCCUUGAAAAUGUCCAAGCACCGCUUUGAUUGAUGACUGACUGGUAACCCCUGUAUAUGGUAACCAACUCUCUUGAGAAAUUUUAUAUUUGUCACAGACCGUUCUUCUCAUCGUGAGUCUUUUUCAUUAGCAAAUUCCCACCACCAUUUCACCUGCCUCACCUUUCUAAUCCCCAACCCACCCUUCUCCUUCCUUUCGGUCAUAGAAUCCCAACUAAUUAAGUAGUAAGAAUUGAGUCGAAUAUGGGAGCUCAAGGGGAUAAGCCCUUAUCAUGGAAGUCACACUCUUUUGUUGGAUUCUUGAUGAAUUAGAAAUCUUUCAGGGGAAAAAAUAUAAAGCUCAUACGUGUGUUGUUAUCCCUCAGAAAAGAAAGAUGGACGCAGCGGUAAAAAUGAAGAAAACAGACAUGUGAUCAGGUCUUCAUUUCUUCUAUCAAUUUUCCAUCUGUGUAUCACCAUCGACUCUAGGAAAAAGCUAUAUAUGUGUAUAUAUUCAAUGGUGAUAAUGUUGGAUGUUUGUUUUAUGAAUAAUGUUGAUUAUCUAACCCCAGCGGUUGACACAGUUGUAGGCCCAUGGAAGCCAGGGACCCCAGAAAACAUUUGAUCUGGCUUCGCCCUCACCCACCCGUUAUUACUUCCUAUUGUUGGACCAGUCCAUAUGACACUUUGUUCCGACUUUAAUUUUCCUCUGCUUUCGCACAGAUUGAUAACCCUAUUAGUCGUUCUAUUGGGCCGGAUACCGAGUUUGUUGUAUCUAGCACUCCUUUACCUCUUGUGUUUUCUGCGGCCAAUGUAGCAUCUCUGAAUCUGUACUCAAGACAUUGCAAGAUUUUUUUUUUUUUUGUAUAUAGAGGCAAAGUACAAGUCAACUGAAAAGAUUUGAUCUUCUUUUGUUCCAUGCAUUUGCAAAGGAACAUAGGUGUGUUAAUGGACACAGGUACGGUUACGGUUUUCAGGUAGGUAUGUGUAUAUAGUGUAAAUUCAUCAAUUCCGAUAUCAAGGACAAAUAUAUACAAUAUAUUAAUCAAGUAAUUGUGUAA